rnacentral:ribozyme from 1 species
UCAAACCUCUUCUUCCCUUUUUUCCACGCCCCACGCAGAGCGCAAAAAAAAAGAAGAAGAGAGGACGAGAAGGAAGAGACCUUUUGUUCGUGUCUUUGUCUUCGUCUUCGUCUUCUUCGGAGAGAGAGAGAGAGAGAGAGAGACGCGCGCGAG